rnacentral:tRNA from 1 species
GGGAAUGUGGCUUAAUGGUAGAGUGCUUGCCUUGCAUGCAUGUAACCCUGGGUUUGAUCUCUCAGUACCA